rnacentral:lncRNA from 1 species
UGUAAUAAAUUCACAGUAUAAUAGUUUACAACAACUUAAAAAAGAAACUCUUCGUCUAGAUAGCUUUCUGUCCGAUAGUGACCAGGCCAAAAGCCCAGAAGAUUCAUUUUUUUCUUGUCAACUGGUCACUUAAGCUUUUUAUUUGUCUUAAUUAAUUAAUUUACAUUUAUUAUCUUAUUUUGUCUUUAUCUUAUUUGGCAUGGUGUUGCUCUGUCACCCAGGCUGGAGUGCAGUGGUGCCAUCACAGCUCACUGCCAUAAGGUCCUGAUCCAGACCCCAAGAGAGGCUUCUCGGAUCCUGUGCAAGAAAGAAUUCAGGACGGAGUUUCGCUCUUGUCGCCCAGGCUGGAGUGCAGUGGUGCAAUCUUGGCUCACUGCAGCCUCUGCCUCCUGUGUUCAAGUGGUUCUCCUGCCUCAGCCUCCUGAGUAGCUGGGAUUACAGGCGCCCACCACCACCCCCGGCUAA